AGUUCCACAUCAGAGAACCAAUAAUAGUUGUGUCCACGGCUUUCAGAGGAGUUCAUAGGUGCUAUUCAGAAUCCUUGGGGUGUCCCUUCAGUCGAAUACAGCAGUUCAUAGACUUUCCCAGAUGGUCCGUGCUAUUCGGGAUGUCCAUACCUCUAUCAAGUAUAAAUAAAAGUAAAUUGGUAAGUUUAGUGUUAGUUUAGGGUUCAGGGUAAGGACGUCCCAAGGAAUCUGGAUUGCAGUGACCGUUCAUAGAGUGAGAGACUGGCACGGUAUUUGAGAGCUCUGCGGCGACACAGACAUUCAUUUUUAUUAAUUUUUUUUACAAGCGGCAGAAGCGAUAGUUUCAUUAGAGACGAUGAAAAUAAUUACCCAGAUGUAUUUGAUCCAGUUGAGGAUCAAGAAGAUUGGUUGAUCUGGCUCAUCACAUCAGCUUCACUGCAGCUGCUCAACCCACCCCCCUCACUGUUCUCCCUCCACAAGUAACCACAUCCUCUUCUCCUGAUCAACUACUGUGCCACCACACUAAAAAUGACUGUACAUAUACCCCUGUGCCCAUCUCAGUGUAACAUGAUCCAUCCAAGGCUUCAGCUAAAUGUAAGCAAGAUGCUAUAGUAUGUGUGUGUAUGUAUGUAUGUAUGCAUGCAUGCAUGCAUGUAUGCAUGUAUGUAUGGAGUUCCAAGUAAAGACUUGAGAAGAUGGCAAAGGAGAUAGUGAUGUGUGAGAGCAUACAGUAUAAAAAUAAAGACCCCUUGGGAUCUAAAA